ensembl:processed_transcript 4930417H01Rik uncharacterized LOC110317491
AAUCUUCAUUGUGUGCACAGAAACACAGCCAGAGGCUGGCUGACUUCCUUGGGAACCCCGGCUCUUUAGCCACCAGCUGUCUGUUCUCUGAUGGGAAUCCUGUCUCUAGUGACCUCCUUACCUCCGUAGAUAAUUUGUCUACCUGUUAAUGACUCUGCCUCUUAGACAUCGUCCCAGUAGACAUUAUGCUUUCAGCCUGGUGAAUGUCUAAAUGGCUGAACACUGUUGCGAAGACGCCUCAUCACUGAGUCAUCCUUGCAAGUACCCUGUGGAAGAGCAACUGACCACAAAUGUGAACGUGGCGACACUGGUUGUGAAGAUACACAUUUAUAUCUCUGCCUACAAGAAGGAAUAGAAAUAAAGAAACCAAAGUGAACUUGGGCUUUCUGAAGAAUAAUUUUCUUACAUGCAGUCUGCAGAUACUGAAGUCUCCUGUCCCCUCCCCCGCCACUUCCACCCUGCCAGUAACUACAGCUGCUGAGGUACAGUUGAGUUUGUGGUACAACCAGUUUCCUCACCUUUACACACUGAACUCUCAGUCUUUUCUCUUCUCCUCCGAAGUGUACUUGUCUUGGACAACUGUCAAUUAACAUCCCUCCCUGGUUCCCUUACUGCUCCAGGCUCUUCCUUCAAUGCUCUGUGCAGGUCUCACAGAGUCCAACCCCAGCCAAUUUAAUCUUCAGUCAGAGAAUCAGAAACAGAACCAAGUGUCUGCCAGGAGACACUCUCUCUGCCUGGGAAUUCCUCCCCAGAGGGAGAAGUCUAUGUCAUCUCCCUCUGCCUACUGUGGGAAAGUGUUGGGUUUGUUAGGCUGAGUAAGGGAUUAUGGCCAGGAACAUUGGUCACCUUACAGCAGCCACACUGGAGGGUAUGUUCUCGGCAGAGGUGACGACUGCCUGACGGCUGUGUAUUAUGGAGUUCUCUCCCUUGACCCUCCCCACUUAUAUGCUCUGCCCCAACCCCACAGAUUCACGUGUUUGAACCCCUGGUCCCCAGCUGGUGGCACUGUUUUGGGAAGUUACUUAAUCUGUGGGAGGUGAGGCAUGCCUGGUAGGGUGGACGGUUAGGGGUGGGUCUUUGAGGGUUAGGAUCUGGCCCCACUUUCUCUUCUGAUUUCUGCUUUCUUCUACAUCAGCAUAGACUUCUACUGCUUCAGAGCCAUUCUGCCAUGUCUGCCCCACAAUGAUGGACUGAAAUUUUUGAAACCAGGAGUCAAAAUAAGCUUUUGUUUUCCUCUCC